rnacentral:rRNA from 1 species
UACGCAGGGUGCAAGCGUUAAUCGGAAUUACUGGGCGUAAAGCGUGCGCAGGCGGUUUUGUAAGACAGGCGUGAAAUCCCCGGGCUCAACCUGGGAACUGCGUUUGUGACUGAAUAGCUAGAGUGCGGCAGAGGGGGGUAGAAUUCCACGUGUAGCAGUGAAAUGCGUAGAGAUGUGGAGGAAUACCGAUGGCGAAGGCAGCCCCCUGGGUCAGCACUGACGCUCAUGCACGAAAGCGUGGGGAGG